CCAGGAGGUGGGGGAUUUUCCUUCCGUUUCUGUUCCUGCUGCAAUACGCAUUUCCUGCAAGUCUGUAAUUGCUGGAAGCUGUUGCUAACAGUGAACUGACUGUGCUCCCAAUCCAGUCUCACCAGGGCUCAAAGCUACCAGCUGCACCCCACUGGGGAGGGCAUGACAAACAGGAGGCUGGGAGAACACAGCAAGCCAAGCAGCAUCUGGAGGAAAGGAGCAGUCAACGUUUCGGGACUCCUCCUGAGUGUGAUCUUCUGCAAAGGUUUUACAAUUGCUUGGCCCGCACAGAGACUGCUCUCCAACUCUGGAAACUCAGAUAAUAAGCUGUGAAAAUGGAACUGGACAUAAACGUGACCAAUUGCUGCACAACGAGUGGCUUCUUUGUAUUGCCGUGUCAUCGCCUCACCUAAACUGAUUAGAUCAUAGAAUCCCUAGAGUGUGGAAGCAGUCCAUUUGGCCCAUCGAGUCCACACUGACCCUGCAA